UGGGGAAUUUUGGACAAUGGGGGAAACCCUGAUCCAGCCAUCCCGCGUGUGCGAUGAAGGCCUUCGGGUUGUAAAGCACUUUUGGCAGGAAAGAAACGUCAUGGGUUAAUACCCCGUGAAACUGACGGUACCUGCAGAAUAAGCACCGGCUAACUACGUGCCAGCAGCCGCGGUAAUACGUAGGGUGCAAGCGUUAAUCGGAAUUACUGGGCGUAAAGCGUGCGCAGGCGGUUCGGAAAGAAAGAUGUGAAAUCCCAGAGCUCAACUUUGGAACUGCAUUUUUAACUACCGGGCUAGAGUGUGUCAGAGGGAGGUGGAAUUCCGCGUGUAGCAGUGAAAUGUGUAGAUAUGCGGAGGAACACCGAUGACGAAGGCAGCCUCCUGGGAUAACACUGACGCUCAUGCACGAAAGCGUGGGGAGCAAACAGG
rnacentral:rRNA from 1 species